UCUCAUUGCAUGUUUUAUUUAGUUGGGAAUCAUUUCACAAAGAAUCAUGGAUUAGAUCUACACAAGCUUGUAUUCAAACAGGCUACUGAUGCAGGUCUCAAAGUCCGGUUAUGUAAAAGUGGAGAAGCUUAUGAACAUCAAACGGUACUUCCAUGUGAUGCACAUCAGCUCCACGGUUGCGGGGGAGUUGUUGGAUCAUCUAACUAGCUGGGAUGUUGGAACAUAAUCUAUUGUUGCAGUUUGAUGUAGACCAGUGUAUUUGGAAAAGUUGCACCUGUCCUCUAUCUAGACCAGUGUAUUUGGAUCUGCUGAACUGUAUGACUUUGAUGAUGAGAAGAUUUGUCGUCCGUUCGCAGAACCGAUCCGAUGAUAGCAACUUCAGAACACUUGGAUUUAAGAUGGAUGGAUGGGAUGGAAGUUGGAUCAAGUUGGUUGGGAGAAGCAUUUUUGGUUUUGCUACUGCAGCUACCACU